UGUUAACACAGGGUGCUCCCAAUCGUUACUUAUGGGGAUUUUACUAUUACCUUAAGAAUGCCUUUUUCCCAAGUAUCAUUACCAUGGGUCAAGUUGUUAAAGCAAUUGCCUUUGUCCAAGCUGAUCAAUGACCAUGUGAGAGCGCCUUUUUCUCUUUUUACGCUUUUGUUUGUUUGUGAUUGUGAGAUUCUCAAAGUCUAGCUUAGAAGCUGAUGAUUCUCUUAACUAAUGAUGAACAGGUUUCAUUAUGUCAUAUUCCUAUAUCUGUCUACGACACAUCAGCCCAUUGGAUCAAGCAUCUUCUAAAUGAUUCUCACUUGAAUUUCGUUGCUUGGGCGCUUGAUGGCAUUCUCACCGAUUGGAAAACAGAAAAACAAGGACUCAAUUCUAACGCUGUAAAACGCAUUCACUUUUUACCAUGUGUGAUUAAAUGGUGUAUGUAUUCAGUUAGUUACCUUUUGUUUCUCUAACUCCCAUUCUGUUGUUGUCCUUGUUUUACGAUUAGGUGGCCACAUUUGUUGGAUUAGCCUUGGUAUUGCGUAGUAGUAAGCCUGAUGUUUUUACUACUAUUUUGCGGAUGCUGAGGUGGAGACCUAUGUAUCAAGGCCAGGACACGCUUCCGGUUCUUGUUUGGAUGCUGGCUCAGGUUUCUCUCUUUUUCCCCCGGCCCUUAUGUGAACUAGGACCAAGAGUGUCCUAAUUUGUGCUUUGUUUUCUUAAGUUUUUGAACUGUAAAGUUAAUGGUGACAGGCCACUAGUCGGCAGUUACAGGCGCCGCCGCCCUCGCUCUAUUGAUCUCAUCCUGCAAUUUCUUGAGAUCAUUUUGUCAAAUCCAGAGGCUCAGACCAUACUUGUAAAUCGAGCUGUUAGGGAGGGAGAGCGGCUGAUUCCACCUUCUUCAUUUGAGACCUUGCUGCGGCUUACAUUCCCUGCUUCAUCCGCUAGAGUAAAGUUAAGCAAGCACUAGCUAGUAUUGGAACUUUUAUCAAAGGACCAAUACUGAUCACAAGCAUGCAUGGUCUCUGUAUAUUGUGCACAGUCAACAAAGAGGUUUGAGGCAGUUUAUCCCUUGUUGAAAGAAGUAGCCCUUGCACCAGAGACUGCAACAGGAGAAAAGGCAAUGGAACAGAUAUUCACUUUUUCUUUGAAAUUAGCUGGAGAAGGUGUAAUGUUACAGGAAAUCCUGGUCUAGCCAAGGAAGCUGCAGCAAUCGCUAUCCGGUCUUUGACAGAAAACGUUGAUUGCUUUAAGCACUGGGCUAUUCUCUAUAAGGAUUAUUUAGAAGCUAGCGUUGCUCUUCUUAGAAAGCUUGCAGACGAAUGGAAGGAUCAUUCCCCUAAAUUAUUAUCAUCACCAGGUGAUACUCUCACUGUCAAUCGAGCUAUGAGGAGCUUCAGGCUUAAGAAUGAAAAAGCCAUCACUGAAGGAGGACCCAGUUGUUCACUUUACAAGGAAGCUGACCAGUCGUGCAAACUGAUCUUGGGGAGACUCUCCCGUGAAAGUGGCCGCCUCAAUAUAGCACCCAUUACCGCUGUGGUCCUAGGAGCUGCAUUAGCCGCUGCAGGAGGCGUUGCUGGAGCCGCACUUGCUCUAUGCUUACCACUUGCAUAAUGGGCGGUCACAAAAUAACGCCCAUUUCUUUUUCUUUUUUUUUUGUACAGUUUUUAAUUAACCUCGGCAACUUGUUCAUACAUAUGUAGGUCUAUUCGUUAGGUGUUUCAUUUUGAAUGAUUAUGUUUAACUGCGUGACGUGAUUACUAAUUGAUUAAUUGUAUAUCUAUAUAUACAUUUUUGAA